rnacentral:lncRNA from 1 species
UCCACUGAAAAGUAAUUCUGGAGCUCGCAGAGUUCUCAUUUUUCAGAUUUGUAGUAGUAUUCGCUUUUGGUUUACAUGAUAUUGGCUGUAUCUCCCUGACAACUGCUCUUUGGUUGGUGUAGGUGUUUUUUUAUGGAUGUACCUGGUUGCGAUGAAGCUAAACAAGAAAUAAUGCUAUCACUUAUUACCUUUGUCCUUCAAAUUUGAGUAUAGGCCUGCGAAAUAAUGAAUAUUUGUGUCUCAUUGCUCCAGCAUGGUCAAUAAAGAUAUGUUGACCCAGGAAAUGUGGGUUUAUCAUAGGUCCUACUGUAUACGUUGAUAUAUGAAAUAUGACAUUUACGGUUAUAUGCUAUCACUUAUUGCCUUUGUCCUUUGCAUUGAGUAUAGGCCUGUGAAAUAAUGGUGUAUUUGUGUGUUGAUUCGUCUGUUUUCCUUCAUGUUCUGGUUCUAAGGUACUAGGACAGACCCAGAGUUAUUUGUAAAAAAAUGUGUUCCAAUGUACCAAUAUUUUGUAUCCUUUCUAAUGCUUAAAAAAGAGGCCAAUAAUUCUUUUAGAAUAUGUAAUAUAUGACAUGUGUAACGCACCUUAAGAGACUACUAAGUUAUCCUGUAUAAUUGGCACGCCCUACUUUUGUAGUAAUAAAUAUAUCAGGUGCUGCUCCAUACAGGUGAUACAUUGCAUUUACCAUAGUAUUUGAUUACAUAUGAUAACAUAAAAUCUGUUUUUUCCUUAGCGGUUCGGCACAUUAGUGCAUAGAAACAGAGUACAGGCAAAUUGAUUAGAUGCAUUAGUUAAGAACACUGAUUUUUUUGGAAAGCUUCAUCAUGACAUCGAUAUUGGUUUCGCCUUACUACCACUCAGAGGUUGGAUGGAGCAUUGAGGAUUUCAGGCUUGGGGUGGCCACGUGUUGCAGGAUAGCAGGAAGAGUUGGAUGUGUUCUGCAGAGACGAGGUGAUCAAUGUCGUUGCCGCCAGGUAGAUGAAGUACAACACUUCUAAAUUUUCUCAUUUAUUUAUCCUCAUAGUUGGUUCCCUUGAUACUUUUUCUUAGAAACAUGAUCAAAGAUACAAAAAGUUUUACUUCUGAAGCAGAAGUGGCAGUAUAGUGUGCAUGUCGUAUUGCAAGUAGAUUUUAUAGAUACCAAUAGAAAUAAUAACUUGGGAUUUAUUUCUGUUCAACCUCUGUGAUCUAGAUGAGCAAAGCAACAACUUUGGCUUUAUUUCUUUGUGAUGUAGAUGAGAAAAACAGUACCUUGGAUUUUAAUUUUGUUCUCUAUGAUGUAGAUUAGCAAGAUUUCUAACCAACAAAGUAAUUUAUUUUAGUAUGGUUUUGUCACUAUGAUUGGUAAUAUGAAGUUUAUUUAUUCUAGGUUCCUAUCUUUAGACAGUCACAUCCACGUUCGUACUUUUAGAAUAGUUGUUGCAGAGCAUUUUUGCAAUAGCAAGAUAUCAGGACCCAAUGGGCAUAGGCCGAACCAACCACCAUCACUAUUGCUUCAGGAUUAGAUAGCCAACAUCCACUCACGAGGUGAGUUUGCUUACUCUACUUUCAGUGUACUAUGCAGAUAUGUUGGUUAGAAAUUUUGCUAUGUUCCUGUCAAGUUGAUUAGAUAUGAAAAAUAUGCUCUAUAAUACCCACAUAAUACUUGUUUAAAUUGGCUUUUCCCUGGUUCAUCGGUGCACACAUGAAACCGGUAAUAAGAAGAGAAUCACCUGAUUUUUUUAUAGUCUAUUUUAGUAAGCAUGUUCAUAAUAUUAGGAUAGUUUAAUUUGAGAACAAUUGGCUGGAGGAACGAUGUAAUUUGAUACUCUGUUAUGUUGAUCUCCAGAGAAAUCUGGUUUUUGGUUUUUCAUUGAUGUACGUUAAUCUGUUGUGAAUCUUGUUUGCUUGCACCAAUUAUAUGUGUAACAAUUAGAGGGGAACUUUUGGAACUCAUACAUUCUAUUUCAAUUAAUGUUCAAAGCAACUUUCCUGUGUGAAUCUGAUAAUCUCACUGAAACAUGUGUUUCAUUGUGUAUAUUCAGCCUGUCGAGUCAAGUUUCAGACGAUCAUGUAUCCCCUUGAUAUUCACUGGAUGGAAUCCCCUGUUUUACUUAGACUGAACCUUCUACAAACAUCGGAAAAGCAACAGUAAUAAAGAUGGACAGAAAUUCCAAAAAUAAGGUUAGUUCUUCUUUGUUCCGUAUCAUUCUCUUUACCGUUCCUUUUGGUACUAUACUCCAAAAAAGAGGCAAUCGGAAAUAUUUAGGUCCACUGAAAAGUAAUUCUGGAGCUCGCAGAGUUCUCAUUUUUCAGAUUUGUAGUAGUAUUCGCUUUUGGUUUACAUGAUAUUGGCUGUAUCUCCCUGACAACUGCUCUUUGGUUGGUGUAGGUGUUUUUUAUGGAUGUACCUGGUUGCGAUGAAGCUAAACAAGAAAUAAUUCUAUCACUUAUUACCUUUGUCCUUCAAAUUUGAGUAUAGGCCUGCGAAAUAAUGAAUAUUUGUGUCUCAUUGCUCCAGCAUGGUCAAUAAAGAUAUGUUGACCCAGGAAAUGUGGGUUUAUCAUAGGUCCUACUGUAUACGUUGAUAUAUGAAAUAUGAUAUUUACGGUUAUAUGCUAUCACUUAUUGCCUUUGUCCUUUGCAUUGAGUAUAGGCCUGUGAAAUAAUGGUGUAUUUGUGUGUUGAUUCGUCUGUUUUCCUUCAUGUUCUGGUUCUAAGGUACCAGGACAGACCCAGAGUUAUUUGUAAAAAAAUGCGUUCCAAUGUACCAAUAUUUUGUAUCCUUUCUAAUGCUUAAAAAAGAGGCGAAUAAUUCUUUUAUAAUAUGUAAUAUAUGACAUGUGUAACACACCUUAAGAGACUACUAAGUUAUCCUGUAUAAUUGGCACGCCCUACUUUUGUAGUAAUAAAUAUAUCAGGUGCUGCUCCAUACAGGUGAUACAUUGCAUUUACCAUAGUAUUUGAUUACAUAUGAUAACAUAAAAUCUGUUUUUUCCUUAGCGGUUCGGCACAUUAGUACAUAGAAACAGCGUACAGGCAAAUUGAUUAGAUGCAUUAGUUAAGAACACUGAUUUUUUUGGAAAGCUUCAUCAUGACAUCGAUAUUGGUUUCGCCUUACUACCACUCAGAGGUUGGAUGGAGCAUCGAGGAUUUCAGGCUUGGGGUGGCCACGUGUUGCAGGAUAGCAGGAAGAGUUGGAUGUGUUCUGCAGAGACGAGGUGAUCAAUGUCGUUGCCGCCAGGUAGCUGAAGUACAAAACUUCUAAAUUUCCUCAUUUAUUUAUCCUCAUAGUUGGUUCCCUUGAUACUUUUUCUUAGAAACAUGAUCAAAGAUACAAAAAGUUUUACUUCUCAAGCAGAAGUGGCAGUAUAGUGUGCAUGUCGUAUUGCAAGUAGAUUUUAUAGAUACCAAUAGAAAUAAUAACUUGGGAUUUAUUUCUGUUCAACCUCUGUGAUCUAGAUGAGCAAAGCAACAACUUUGGCUUUAUUUCUUUGUGAUGUAGAUGAGAAAAAUAGUACCUUGGAUUUUAAUUCUAUUCUCUAUGAUGUAGAUUAGCAAGAUUUCUAACCAACAAAGUAAUUUAUUUUAGUAUGGUUUUGUCACUAUGAUUGGUAAUAUGAAGUUUAUUUAUUCUAGGUUCCUAUCUUUAGACAGUCACAUCCACGUUCGUACUUUUAGAAUAGUUGUUGCAACGGGGAAGAGCAUUUUUGCAAUAGCAAGAUAUCAGGACCCAAUGGGCAUAGGCCGAACCAACCACCAUCACUAUUGCUUCAGGAUUAGAUAGCCAACUUCCACUCACGAGGUGAGUUUGCUUACUCUACUUUCAGUGUACUGUGCAGAUAUGUUGGUUAGAAAUUUUGCUAUGUGUCUGUCAAGUUGAUUAGAUACGAAAAAUAUGCUCUAUAAUACCCACAUAAUACUUGUUUAAAUUGGCUUUUCCCUGGUUCAUCAGUGCACACAUGAAACCGGUAAUAAGAAGAGAAUCACCUGAUUUUUUAUAGUCUAUUUUAGUAAGCAUGUUCAUAAUAUUAGGAUAGUUUAAUUUGAGAACAAUCGGCUGGAGGAACGAUGUAAUUUGAUACUCUGUUAUGUUGAUCUCCAGAGAAAUUUGGUUUUUGGUUUUUCAUUGAUGUACGUUAAUCUGUUGUGAAUCUUGUUUGCUUGCACCAAUUAUAUGUGUAACAAUUAGAGGGGAACUUUUGGAACUCAUACAUUCUAUUUCAGUUAAUGUUCAAAGCAACUUUCCUGUGUGAAUCUGAUAAUCUUACUGAAACCUGUGUUUCAUUGUGUAUAUUCAGCCUCUCGAGUCAAGUUUCAGACGAUCAUGUAUCCCCUUGAUAUUCACUGGAUGGAAUCCCCUAUUUUACUCAGACUGAACCUUCUACAAACAUCAGAAAAGCAACAGUAAUAAAGAUGGACAGAAAUUCCAAAAAUAAGGUUAGUUCUUGUUUGUUCCGUAUCAUUCUCUUUACCGUUCCUUUUGGUACUAUACUCCAAAAAAGAGGCAAUCGGAAAUAUUUAGGUCCACUGAAAAGUAAUUCUGGAGCUCGCAGAGUUCUCAUUUUUCAGAUUUGUAGUAGUAUUCGCUUUUGGUUUACAUGAUAUUGGCUGUAUCUCCCUGACAACUGCUCUUUGGUUGGUGUAGGUGUUUUUUUAUGGAUGUACCUGGUUGCGAUGAAGCUAAACAAGAAAUAAUGCUAUCACUUAUUACCUUUGUCCUUCAAAUUUGAGUAUAGGCCUGCGAAAUAAUGAAUAUUUGUGUCUCAUUGCUCCAGCAUGGUCAAUAAAGAUAUGUUGACCCAGGAAAUGUGGGUUUAUCAUAGGUCCUACUGUAUACGUUGAUAUAUGAAAUAUGACAUUUACGGUUAUAUGCUAUCACUUAUUGCCUUUGUCCUUUGCAUUGAGUAUAGGCCUGUGAAAUAAUGGUGUAUUUGUGUGUUGAUUCGUCUGUUUUCCUUCAUGUUCUGGUUCUAAGGUACCAGCACAGACCCAGAGUUAUUUGCAAAAAAAUGCGUUCCAAUGUACCAAUAUUUUGUAUCCUUUCUAAUGCUUAAAAAAGAGGCGAAUAAUUAUUUUAUAAUAUGUAAUAUAUGACAUGUGUAACGCACCUUAAGAGACUACUAAGUUAUCCUGUAUAAUUGGCACGCCCUACUUUUGUAGUAAUAAAUAUAUCAGGUGCUGCUCCAUACAGGUGAUACAUUGCAUUUACCAUAGUAUUUGAUUACAUAUGAUAACAUAAAAUCUGUUUUUUCCUUAGCGGUUCGGCACAUUAGUGCAUAGAAACAGAGUACAGGCAAAUUGAUUAGAUGCAUUAGUUAAGAACACUGAUUUUUUUGGAAAGCUUCAUCAUGACAUCGAUAUUGGUUUCGCCUUACUACCACUCCGAGGUUGGAUGGAGCAUCGAGGAUUUCAGGCUUGGGGUGGCCACGUGUUGCAGGAUAGCAGGAAGAGUUGGAUGUGUUCUGCAGAGACGAGGUGAUCAAUGUCGUUGCCGCCAGGUAGCUGAAGUACAAAACUUCUAAAUUUGCUCAUUUAUUUAUCCUCAUAGUUGGUUCCCUUGAUACUUUUUCUUAGAAACAUGAUCAAAGAUACAAAAAGUUUUACUUCUGAAGCAGAAGUGGUAGUAUAGUGUGCAUGUCGUAUUGCAAGUAGAUUUUAUAGAUACCAAUAGAAAUAAUAACUUGGGAUUUAUUUCUGUUCAACCUCUGUGAUCUAGAUGAGCAAAGCAACAACUUUGGCUUUAUUUCUUUGUGAUGUAGAUGAGAAAAAUAGUACCUUGGAUUUUAAUUCUGUUCUCUAUGAUGUAGAUUAGCAAGAUUUCUAACCAACAAAGUAAUUUAUUUUAGUAUGGUUUUGUCACUAUGAUUGGUAAUAUGAAGUUUAUUUAUUCUAGGUUCCUAUCUUUAGACAGUCACAUCCACGUUCGUACUUUUAGAAUAGUUGUUGCAACGGGGAAGAGCAUUUUUGCAAUAGCAAGAUAUCAGGACCCAAUGGGCAUAGGCCGAACCAACCACCAUCACUAUUAUUUCAGGAUUAGAUAGCCAACUUCCACUCAUGAGGUGAGUUUGCUUACUCUACUUUCAGUGUACUGUGCAGAUAUGUUGGUUAGAAAUUUUGCUAUGUGCCUGUCAAGUUGAUUAGAUAUGAAAAAUAUGCUCUAUAAUACCCACAUAAUACUUGUUUAAAUUGGCUUUUCCCUGGUUCAUCAGUGCACACAUGAAACCGGUAAUAAGAAGAGAAUCACCUGAUUUUUUUAUAGUCUAUUUUAGUAAGCAUGUUCAUAAUAUUAGGAUAGUUUAAUUUGAGAACAAUUGGCUCGAGGAACGAUGUAAUUUGAUACUCUGUUAUGUUGAUCUCCAGAGAAAUUUGGUUUUUGGUUUUUCAUUGAUGUACGUUAAUCUGUUGUGAAUCUUGUUUGCUUGCACCAAUUAUAUGUGUAACAAUUAGAGGGGAAAUUUUGGAACUCAUACAUUCUAUUUCAGUUAAUGUUCAAAGCAACUUUCCUGUGUGAAUCUGAUAAUCUUACUAAAACCUGUGUUUCAUUGUGUAUAUUCAGCCUGUCGAGUCAAGUUUCAGACGAUCAUGUAUCCCCUUGAUAUUCACUGGAUGGAAUCCCCGGUUUUACUCAGACUGAACCUUCUACAAACAUCGGAAAAGCAACAGUAAUAAAGAUGGACAGAAAUUCCAAAAAUAAG